UACGUAGGGUGCAAGCGUUGUCCGGAAUUAUUGGGCGUAAAGAGCUCGUAGGCGGCUCGUCGCGUCGACCGUGAAAACCCGCGGCUUAACUGCGGGCUUGCGGUUGAUACGGGCGGGCUAGAGUUCGGUAGGGGAGACUGGAAUUCCUGGUGUAGCGGUGAAAUGCGCAGAUAUCAGGAGGAACACCGGUGGCGAAGGCGGGUCUCUGGGCCGAUACUGACGCUGAGGAGCGGAAGCGUGGGGAGCGAACAGG
rnacentral:rRNA from 1 species